rnacentral:rRNA from 2 species
GAAGGUUGAUUGGCCCCAUUGGGAUUGGAACCCGGCCCAAAUUCCUUCGGGAGGCACCCGUAGGGAAUUUUCCACAAUGGACGCAAGUUUGAUGGAGCAACCCCCCCUGAAGGAAGAAGGCUUUCGGGUCGUAAAACUCUGUUGUUGGAGAAGAAUGGUCGGCAGAGUAACUGUUGUCGGCGUGACGGUAUCCAACCAGAAAGCCACGGCUAACUACGUGCCAGCAGCCGCGGUAAUACGUAGGUGGCAAGCGUUAUCCGGAUUUAUUGGGCGUAAAGCGAGCGCAGGCGGUUUUUUAAGUCUGAUGUGAAAGCCCUCGGCUUAACCGAGGAAGUGCAUCGGAAACUGGGAAACUUGAGUGCAGAAGAGGACAGUGGAACUCCAUGUGUAGCGGUGAAAUGCGUAGAUAUAUGGAAGAACACCAGUGGCGAAGGCGGCUGUCUGGUCUGUAACUGACGCUGAGGCUCGAAAGCAUGGGUAGCGAACAGGAUUAGAUACCCUGGUAGUCCAUGCCGUAAACGAUGAAUGCUAGGUGUUGGAGGGUUUCCGCCCUUCAGUGCCGCAGCUAACGCAUUAAGCAUUGGUCUUGGAUUUAGUUGGGCACUCUAGUAAGACUGCCGGUUAUGACCUGGGCUACACACGUGCUAC